UACGUAGGGCGCAAGCGUUGUCCGGAAUUAUUGGGCGUAAAGAGCUCGUAGGCGGUCUGUCGCGUCGGAUGUGAAAGCCCGGGCUUAACCCGGGUCUGCAUUCGAUACGGGCAGACUAGAGUGUGGUAGGGGAGAUCGGAAUUCCUGGUGUAGCGGUGAAAUGCGCAGAUAUCAGGAGGAACACCGGUGGCGAAGGCGGAUCUCUGGCCAUUACUGACGCUGAGGAGCGAAGCGUGGGAGCGAACAGG
rnacentral:rRNA from 1 species